GAUCAUGGCUCAGGAUGAACGCUGGCGGCGUGCUUAACACAUGCAAGUCGAACGAAGCACUUUAUUACGAUUUCUUCGGAAUGACGAUUUAGUGACUGAGUGGCGGACGGGUGAGUAACGCGUGGGUAACCUGCCUUAUACAGGGGGAUAACAGUUAGAAAUAACUGCUAAUACCGCAUAAGCGCACAGGAUUGCAUGAUCUGGUGUGAAAAACUCCGGUGGUAUAAGAUGGACCCGCGU
rnacentral:rRNA from 1 species